AGUGAACGCUGGCGGUAGGCCUAACACAUGCAAGUCGAACGGCAGCACAGUAAGAGCUUGCUCUUACGGGUGGCGAGUGGCGGACGGGUGAGGAAUACAUCGGAAUCUACUUUUUCGUGGGGGAUAACGUAGGGAAACUUACGCUAAUACCGCAUACGACCUACGGGUGAAAGCAGGGGAUCUUCGGACCUUGCGCGAUUGAAUGAGCCGAUGUCGGAUUAGCUAGUUGGCGGGGUAAAGGCCCACCAAGGCGACGAUCCGUAGCUGAUCUGAGAGGAUGAUCAGCCACACUGGAACUGAGACACGGUCCAGACUCCUACGGGAGGCAGCAGUGGGGAAUAUUGGACAAUGGGCGCAAGCCUGAUCCAGCCAUACCGCGUGGGUGAAGAAGGCCUUCGGGUUGUAAAGCCCUUUUGUUGGGAAAGAAAAGCAGCAGGUUAAUACCCCGCUGUUCCGACGGUACCCAAAGAAUAAGCACCGGCUAACUUCGUG
rnacentral:rRNA from 1 species